rnacentral:rRNA from 1 species
GACGAACGCUGGCGGCGUGCUUAACACAUGCAAGUCGAACGGAAAGGCCCUGCUUUUGUGGGGUGCUCGAGUGGCGAACGGGUGAGUAACACGUGAGUAACCUGCCCUUGACUUUGGGAUAACUUCAGGAAACUGGGGCUAAUACCGGAUAGGAGCUCCUGCUGCAUGGUGGGGGUUGGAAAGUUUCGGCGGUUGGGGAUGGACUCGCGGCUUAUCAGCUUGUUGGUGGGGUAGUGGCUUACCAAGGCUUUGACGGGUAGCCGGCCUGAGAGGGUGACCGGCCACAAUGGGACUGAGAUACGGCCCAGACUCCUACGGGAGGCAGCAGUGGGGAAUAUUGCACAAUGGGCGGAAGCCUGAUGCAGCAACGCCGCGUGCGGGAUGACGGCCUUCGGGUUGUAAACCGCUUUCGCCUGUGACGAAGCGUGAGUGACGGUAAUAGGUAAAGAAGCACCGGCUAACUACGUG